rnacentral:tRNA from 1 species
GAGGGUAGAGCUCAGUGGUAGAGCACAUGCUUAGCAUGCACAAGGUCCUGGGUUCAAUCCCCAGUACCUCCA